UCAGUCGACUCCUACGGGGAGGCAGCAGUGGGGGAAUAGUUGCACAAUGGGCGCAAGCCUGAUGCAGCCAUGCCGCGUGUGUGAAGAAGGACCUCGGGUGUAAAGCACUUCAGCCGUGAGGAAGGCAUUGUACCUAAUACGUGCAGUGUUUGACGUUAGCGGCAGAAGAAGCACCGGCUAACUCCGUGCCAGCAGCCGCGGUAAUACGGAGGGUGCGAGCGUUAAUCGGAAUUACUGGGCGUAAAGCGCAUGCAGGCGGUCUGUUAAGCAAGAUGUGAAAGACCCCGGGCUUAACCUGGGAACCGCAUUUUGAACUGGCAGGCUAGAGUCUUGUAGAGGGGGGGUAGGAAUUUCAGGUGUAGCGGUGAAAUGCGUAGAGAUCUGAAGGAAUACCGGUGGCGAAGGCGGCCCCCUCGGACAAAGACUGACGCUCAGAUGCGAAAGCGUGGGGAGCAAACAGGAUUAGAUACCCUGGUAG
rnacentral:rRNA from 1 species